AUUUCACCUAGUUUGUUAAUAAAUUUAGCCAUUGUCUUCCGUGUAUCCACAUUCUGAUGAUACAACAAAUUGUCAAUAAGUAGGUCGAAAGCAUAGGUGAAUGAUUUUACUUGUAGAACAAUGAAUCGAGAAAUAGACGUAGUACAAGUUACA